AAUUUUUUUUAUAUAAUAUUGUAAUUAUGUUUAUGUGGUACAAAUUGGAUAAGACAAAGUACGGCAUAUAUUUGUUCGUUUAGACUAAAUUAGUACAGUUGCAACAAAUUUAAGCAGAUAUUCGGACGUACUGUAUGGCAUGUCAAUUUUCUAGAAAUAUCUAUUUGAGAACUACAACUACAAAAGUUUGUUGUCGUCAUUGGUUAGUUGUUCGGAAGACGAGUAGGUUUCGGUUGAUUCAGUAUCCGAAGUGUCCGAAGAAGUUGAUGAAAACAUUUCUUUCUGUGGUGCAAAUAGCGUCAAUUGUAAGUAAAAGUAAAAAUAUUUGAGUGUUGGUAGUGCUGAGAAUAAACCAUCAAUAAGAAAGCUGAAGAAUGUCGUGAAGUAAGGUUGGCUCAAUUCCAGAACUGAGAAAAAGUUUUCAUCAAGAAGUAGAGAAAAUUGCAGUAAUAACUGAACUGGAAGCAAAUAAAUUGCGUUCUUUGAGCAAUAAAAUCACCGUUUCUCGUUUCAUAACUGAUAAGGAUAUAAUGUGUCAUGAAAUACUAAAACCAAUAUGGAUAAGUGAACAUUGUUUUAAAGAUUAUCCUGAACUGCUGAGUAAAACAGGGAAGCAAAAGUUUGACACACCAGCGCCUAUUAAGAAGCAAGCAUGGCCUAUAUUAUUGAAACGCGAAUUUCUUCAAACUUAAAUUAGAGAAAAAAUAAAAGCAUUUUUUUUAUUUUUUUUUGUUAUAGGUUUUUGUGUUUCUUUAAAACCUUAAGCUUAAGCCAAGCGAUAAGGUUCUUGUCUUCUGUUCUAAGCGAGCUCACGCUGAUGAUUUAUCUAGUGACUUAUUCAUAAAAGGUGUGUCUACAGAAUGUGUUCAUGGUGCACGGGAACAGGUCGAUCGCAAACAAGCACUUGCUGACUUGGCGUCAGGUGGUUGUUGCUUGGUGGCGACGGACCUGGCUUCAAGACGCUUAAACAUAGAAGACAUAAUGCAUGUUUUAAACCACGAUUUUAAGCAAAACGUUGAGGAAUAUGUUCACCGUGUUGGAAAAACUCGAUGUGCUGAAAGAUCCGGUUGUUGUGAAAGAUCUAAUACGUAUUUUGGAAGAAGCUGGCCUUGGAGUUCCAGUUGAUCUUCGUUAAAUGUUCACAAACUUUGAUGAGAAAAAAAAAAUUCCCGUGGUAUUGAUAUUUAGAGGGGUGGCCGUUAUGAAAUGACUUCUUUUUAAAUAUAUAAUCAAUGCUUUAUUGAUAUCUUGAUUACUUUUUAUCAAAAAGCGAUUAACAAAUCGUUAC